CCUACGGGAGGCAGCAGUCGAGGAUCUUCGGCAAUGGGCGAAAGCCUGACCGAGCGACGCCGCGUGAGCGAUGAAGGCCAUUAGGUUGUAAAGCUCUGUCGAGGGGGAACAAGCCGCAAGGUUGAGUGAUCCCUGGAGGAAGCACGGGCUAAGUUCGUGCCAGCAGCCGCGGUAAGACGAACCGUGCGAACGUUGUUCGGAAUCAUUGGGCUUAAAGGGCGCGUAGGCGGGUGUUCAAGUCCGGGGUGAAAGCCUCCAGCUCAACUGGAGAAGAGCCCCCGGAUACUGUUCACCUGGAGAGAGAUAGGGGCACAUGGAACUUCCGGUGGAGCGGUGAAAUGCGUAGAGAUCGGAAGGAACGCCGGUGGCGAAAGCGAUGUGCUGGAUCUUUUCUGACGCUGAGGCGCGAAAGCUAGGGGAGCAAACGGGGAUUAGAUACCCCGGUAGUCCUAGCCCUAAACGAUGGGUACUGGGUUGCGGGUCAGACAUAGACUCGCAGCCGAAGCAAAAGUGUUAAGUACCCCGCCUGGGGAGUAUGGUCGCAAGGCUGAAACUCAAAUGAAUGACGG
rnacentral:rRNA from 1 species